CGGCGUGCCUAAUACAUGCAAGUCGAACGGUCUUUCUAUGGAAGCUUGCUUCCACUGAGAAGAUAGUGGCGAACGGGUAGAGUAACACGUGGGUAACCUGCCCAUAAGAGGGGGAUAACAUCCGGAAACGGGUGCUAAUACCGCAUAGUUUUCUUGAUCGCAUGAUCGGGAAAGGAAAGACGGCCUUUGUGCUGUCGCUUAUGGAUGGACCCGCGGCGUAUUAGUUAGUUGGUGAGGUAACGGCUCACCAAGACGAUGAUACGUAGCCGACCUGAGAGGGUGAUCGGCCACAUUGGGACUGAGACACGGCCCAAACUCCUACGGGAGGCAGCAGUAGGGAAUCUUCCGCAAUGGACGAAAGUCUGACGGAGCAACGCCGCGUGAGUGAAGAAAAGGUUUUCGGAUCGUAAAACUCUGUUGUCAGAGAAGAACAAGUUGGAGAGUAACUGCUCCAGCCUUGACGGUAUCUGACCAGAAAGCCACGGCUAACUACGUGCCAGCCGCAGC
rnacentral:rRNA from 1 species